GAUGAACGCUGGCGGCGUGCUUAACACAUGCAAGUCGAGCGAGAAGUUUUGAAAAGAUUCUUCGGAUGAAAUUUAAAAUGGAAAGCGGCGGACGGGUGAGUAACGCGUAGGCAACCUGCCCCAUACAAAGGGAUAGCAUUUGGAAACGAAUAUUAAUACCUUAUGAAACUUAACUAGUGCAUGCUAGGUAGGUCAAAGAUUUAUCGGUAUGGGAUGGGCCUGCGUCUGAUUAGCUAGUUGGUGAGGUAACGGCUCACCAAGGCGACGAUCAGUAGCCGACCUGAGAGGGUGAACGGCCACAUUGGAACUGAGACACGGUCCAAACUCCUACGGGAGGCAGCAGUGGGGAAGAUUGCACAAUGGGGGAAACCCUGAUGCAGCAACGCCGCGUGAACGAUGAAGGCCUUUGGGUCGUAAAGUUCUGUUCUAGGUGAUGAAAACUGACAGUAACCUAGGAGAAAGCCCCGGCUAACUCCGUG
rnacentral:rRNA from 1 species